UGGGGAAUAUUGGACAAUGGGCGAAAGCCUGAUCCAGCCAUGCCGCGUGUGUGAAGAAGGUCUUCGGAUUGUAAAGCACUUUAAGUUGGGAGGAAGGGCAUUUACCUAAUACGUAAGUGUUUUGACGUUACCGACAGAAUAAGCACCGGCUAACUCUGUGCCAGCAGCCGCGGUAAUACAGAGGGUGCAAGCGUUAAUCGGAAUUACUGGGCGUAAAGCGCGCGUAGGUGGUUUGUUAAGUUGGAUGUGAAAUCCCCGGGCUCAACCUGGAACUGCAUUCAAAACUGACAAGCUAGAGUAUGGUAGAGGGUGGUGGAAUUUCCUGUGUAGCGGUGAAAUGCGUAGAUAUAGGAAGGAACACCAGUGGCGAAGGCGACCACCUGGACUGAUACUGACACUGAGGUGCGAAAAGCGUGGGGAGCAAAACAGGAUUAGAUACCCUGGUAGUCCACGCCGUAAAACGAUGUCAACUAGCCGUUGGGAGCCUUGAGCUCUUAGUGGCGCAGCUAACGCAUUAAGUUGACCGCCUGGGGAGUACGGCCGCAAGGUUAAAAACUCAAAUGAAUUGACGGGGUCAUAGCUGUUUCCUG
rnacentral:rRNA from 1 species